AUAUAUAUAUAUAUAUAUGCCAUCAGUUUAAGAACAAUAAAAUAAACAAUUUACUUAGCAAAUGGUGAUAAUGUUUGUUAAUGAAAGAGAGUACGGGACAAAUUAACAUUUAAACCUUAAACUAGCAGCGCACGUCACUUUCUGAGUGAAGUGCGCGACGUGCGCGUGCCCGUCAUUUUGUAACGGUCAACUUCCAGCGGACGGACACGGAGGAAAGGGCCUGACAACCACCAGUUGAGUCCAUGAUUCAGGGAAGAGACAGUCUGGGCAGCAGCAACAAGACAACUAUUACAAGUAGAGAUGGGUUUCAAAAACUGGUACUAAUUUGGUUCCUGACUUGUUCGACACAACCACAUAUCCUCUAAAUCAUCUCUGUGUGGAUGGCAGCAAGGAUCCAGGAUCAAGAGAUCAUUCUUCAUGGAGACUGUUCCACAGGAAGCAGUUUAUCCUGGGUCAAAAACUAAACCUGGUUGUUUCAGCAUC